rnacentral:misc_RNA from 1 species
GAAAUGCAAUAAGUAAUGUGAAUUGCAGAAUUCAGUGAAUCAUCGAAUCUUUGAACGCACCUUGCGCUCCUUGGUAUUCCUUGGAGCAUGCCUGUUUGAGUAUCAUGAAAUCUUUAAAGUAAAUCUUUUGUUAACUCAAUUGGUUUCUACUUUGGUAUUGGAGGUCUUUGCAGCUUCACACCUGCUCCUCUUUGUUCAUUAGCUGGAUCUCAGUGUUAUGCUUGGUUCCACUCGGCGUGAUAAGUUAUCUAUCGCUGAGGACACUGUAAAAGGUGGCCAAGGUAAAUGCAGAUGAACCGCUUCUAAUAGUCCAUUGACUUGGACAAUACUUUUAUGAUCUGAUCUCAAAUCAGGUAGGACUACCCGCUGAACUUAAGC